rnacentral:tRNA from 1 species
GCCCCUAUAGCUCAGCGGUAGAGCUUCGGACUUUUAAUCCGCAGGUCGUAGGUUCGAUCCCUACUGGGGGCACCA